AAGUCGUAACAAGGUUUCCGUAGGUGAACCUGCGGAAGGAUCAUUAACACGUAUCCACGUAUUUAUCAACCAACUACCACGAACUGUUCUCCCCGAGACUUACCUAAACGCAAGGCUGUGUUGUAAGGUUAAGGCGGGCCCCGCCUGUGCGCUUGUACGUACGGCCGUAAGGACCAUCUUAUGACACUAUCGAUCCGUUGAGAUCGUGGCUGAGCACCUGGUUUGUCGGGCUUUAUUAUCAUUCCAAUAGCACUUCACCGUCUGCGUGUGCGUUGGUUUGAGACCAUAACCUGUUUCACCCUAUUUUGACCAAUUGGCUAAUAUUAAACGAUUGAGAGAGAAAUCUCUUGAUCUCUAAGAUUUAUCUUAACUAAGCACAACUCUUAGCAAUGGAUAUCUUGGUUCUC
rnacentral:misc_RNA from 1 species